UCACCCAUCUUUUUCAAUGUCCCUCUUGCAAAAAUUGGCAGGAUUCUCCCAUAGAAGAGAAAAAUGGCUUGGCUUCAUGUUGGAGGUAGCAGCUUAAGGCAGCUUGUGUCAUUUCAUAUGGAUAAGUUUGCUUUUUAGAUCUGUGUGGACAACAGAUGACCAAAAUUCCCAUGGUUCUUCAGUGUGACUGAGCCAUGACCUGCUGUCAGUGUGCAGUUUCACUCAACCGAUGUAUUAUCUGAUAGAUGGUGUGGGCUCCUGGGCUUUGGGAACUGCUGACAACUUCGCAGGGCUUAGAGACUGGUGUGGGGACAUGGGAAUCUGCCAGCAGCUUAUACACAGGUGGAUGACGGCAUUCAAAGUGGGCUGCACUGCUGUCUGGAAGAGGCUCAGCAUCUCCUGGUGCCAAGUGCAGGGCUGGGGCCAGCAGUGUCUGGGGGCAAGCCUCGUGCCUGCUUUUUGUGGCUGACCAUGGACAGCUCUUCCGCAUCUUUCUGGUCAGAGGCACCCUGUGAAUCUCCCAGAGGGGAGAUGUAAAAGCUCUGCACACUCAGCCCAUCAACACCAAAUCCACCAGCAACACAUCAGCUCGCCCCGAUGAGAUAAGGCAGAGAUCACCUGGUAAUCUGUUACAGAAACAAAGAAGCAAGUGUUUCUCUAAGGAAAUUUUCUAAACAUCGCUUUCCUUUCUCAUUUUGCCUCAGUCCAAUAAAAUCAUUAAGCAUCCUUCA